rnacentral:rRNA from 1 species
GACGAACGCUGGCGGCGUGCUUAACACAUGCAAGUCGAACGCUGAAGCUCAGCUUUUGUUGGGUGGAUGAGUGGCGAACGGGUGAGUAACACGUGAGUAACCUGCCCCCUUCUUUGGGAUAACGCCCGGAAACGGGUGCUAAUACUGGAUAUUCACUGGUCUUCGCAUGGGGGUUGGUGGAAAGGGUUUUUCUGGUGGGGGAUGGGCUCGCGGCCCAUCAGCUUGUUGGUGGGGUGAUGGCCUACCAAGGCUUUGACGGGUAGCCGGCCUGAGAGGGUGACCGGUCACAUUGGGACUGAGGUACGGCCCAGACUCCUACGGGAGGCAGCAGUGGGGAAUAUUGCACAAUGGGCGCAAGCCUGAUGCAGCGACGCCGCGUGAGGGAUGGAGGCCUUCGGGUUGUGAACCUCUUUCGCUCAUGGUCAAGCCGCAACAAUGGUUGUGGUGAGGGUAGUGGGUAAAGAAGCGCCGGCUAACUACGUG